rnacentral:ribozyme from 14 species
GUUGCAUUUUUCUUUCUUUCAAUUCUUUUUUUUUUCUUUUCUUCCUUUUCUAAGACUUCUGAUGUG